rnacentral:rRNA from 1 species
CUCAGUUCGGAUUGGAGUCUGNAACCCGACUCCAUGAAGCUGGAUUCGCUAGUAAUCGCGCAUCAGCCGCGGCGCGGUGAAUACGUUCCCGGGCCUUGUACACACCGCCCGUCAAGCCAUGAGAGUUGGGAAUACCCGAAGCCUGUGAGCUAACUGUAAGGAGGCAGCAGUCGAAGGUAGAAUCAAUGAUUGGGGUGAAGUCGUAACAAGGUACC